rnacentral:lncRNA from 1 species
AGUCACUCCCUCCAAAAUAUGGAGAUGCUCACAAGCUAUAAGAAACAGUAGAAAAUGAAGCAAAAUGUUACCCGCAGUCACUUCUGGAGUCACAAUAUAACUAGAGCUGGAACACUAUCUGGCUCUUCUCAUGUGCUUGCUCUGAAGCAAGCCAGAGAAGUCCACAUGGCAAGGAAUGGAGAACAGCCUCUGGCCAACUGCCAGGAAGAAACCAGGGUCCUCGGUUCGACCACCAGUAAGGAACUGAGUCCAGUCAACAACUGUGUGAGUGAGCUUGGCAGCAUAUGCUUCCCCAGUUGAACCUUCAGAUGAGGCUGUAGCUCUGACCAAUAUCUUAAUUGCAACCUUGUGAGGACCCACCUGAGCCAUGCCCAGAUGCCUGACCCACAAAAAUUCUCUCCUUCUUCCUUUACAUGCUAUCUUCUAAUCUAAAAUGUACUCCCAAUUCCAAAGUUCCUGAGUCCAUAUUCUCACACCGCUCCAGCCAUUUGACUCUGUAAGCCUUUUACUACAGGAAGGACCUUUUGCUAUCUCAGGUGUCCUGUGCUCAGGAUUCUCAAGAGGCAGGAUGAGUAGGAGAUUGGCAAUAUGAUUCAGAGUAUGGGCAGACACAGCACAGUCUACUCUCGGUCCAUUAUCCAUAUUUGUGGAGGGCAGCUACGGAUAAGAGGGGAAAAAAACAAAUGGCUCUAUGUAACAGGUGCUGAAAUCUGGGUCCUGUACUAUAUUUAUCAGUAUGUUUGUGAUAGUGGUCAUGAUGCUAAUUACAUGGGACAUGUUAUAAUGAAGGCUGUCAAUCCUGAAACUUAAUUCAAGAAAAGAGUUUAGGCCGGGUGUGAUGGCUCAAGCCUGUAAUCCCAGCACUUUGGGAGGCCGAGGCGGGUGGAUCAUCUGGGGUUGGGAGUUCGAGACCAGCCUAGCC